GGCUGAUCACUGGGUGUAAAGAGUGCGCAGGCGGUUUUGUAAGACAGAGGUGAAAUCCCCGGGCUCAACCUGGGAACUGCCUUUGUGACUGCAAGGCUGGAGUGCGGCAGAGGGGGAUGGAAUUCCGCGUGUAGCAGUGAAAUGCGUAGAUAUGCGGAGGAACACCGAUGGCGAAGGCAAUCCCCUGGGCCUGCACUGACGCUCAUGCACGAAAGCGUGGGGAGCAAACA
rnacentral:rRNA from 1 species